AUACGGAGGGUGCAAGCGUUAAUCGGAAUCACUGGGCGUAAAGCGCGCGCAGGCGGCUAUUUAAGUUGGAUGUGAAAGCCUACGGCUCAACCGUAGAACUGCAUCCAAAACUAUUUAGCUAGAGUGUGGGAGAGGAAGAUGGAAUUAGUUGUGUAGGGGUAAAAUCCGUAGAGAUAACUAGGAAUACCAAAAGCGAAGGCAAUCUUCUGGAACACUACUGACGCUGAGGCGCGAAAGCGUGGGGAGCAAACAGGAUUAGAUACCCUAGUAGUCC
rnacentral:rRNA from 1 species